UGGUGGAGUGAUUUGUCUGGUUAAUUCCGAUAACGAACGAGAUCUUUACCUGCUUACUAGACACGCGUAUCUUUACCAUUAAGCCUGGGUCGCGGCGUUUGGUCCCGCUCGCCCCUCGGGGAGGGCGUGGACCCCCUGCGGCCUUGGUGGACUGAUACGUGGAUGAGCUUCUUAGAGGGACUAUCUGCGUUUAGCAGAUGGAAGUUGAAGGCAAUAACA
rnacentral:rRNA from 1 species